UACGUAGGGGGCAAGCGUUAUCCGGAUUUACUGGGUGUAAAGGGAGCGUAGACGGCUCUGCAAGUCUGAAGUGAAAGCUCGGGGCUCAACCCCGGAACUGCUUUGGAAACUGUAAAGCUGGAGUGUCGGAGAGGUAAGCGGAAUUCCUGGUGCAGUAGUGAAAUGCGUAGAUAUCAGGAAGAACACCGGAGGCGAAGGCGGCUUACUGGACGAUAACUGACGUUGAGGCUCGAAAGCGUGGAGAGCAAAC
rnacentral:rRNA from 1 species